GGGGGCGUGGGUAACCCUGCCGUCGAAAGCCCCUCGGCCCAAUCCAAUCGCCCGCACUCUACAACCCUCCCUCUCUCCUCGAUCUCUCUCCCUCAGCCGCCACAAACCUUAGGUCCCUUUCCUACGAUCCCGUGGUCGCUGCACCUGCUCCAGCCGACCUCCGUGGCGACCGAGGGCCUGAUCCGCGCCAACGCCGUGCGGGCGGCGGCCGGGGCGGGCGCGGAGAGGGCCGAUGCGGCGGCCGCGGGCGGGGCGGUGGCGGCCAAGGCCAGGGAGGACGAGGUCAGGGAGUACAAGAGUGACGUGCUGAACCCCUCCGCGGAGGAGUUCGUGCCGCUCUCCCGCUGCCAGGGGGCGGCGCACGCCGCCUGUCGGCCGACGCGCCCGUCUUCGUCUCGCCCGACUACUAUGCUGCUCCGUCCACCGACUCUGUCCGUGCAGGCCGCGAGGAAGCCACGUGAGGAGGAGAGACCUCGUCUCGAGAAUCCCGGGAGGAGGGGCUCAACCAGAGAGGAGCAGAUGCCAGCCAGGUAGUCGGCUCGGCUCGACGCCGUCUUUCGUGUCUGGGCCGCGGCAGACCCUAGCGCCGUCCUUCAGGUGUCUUCACGGCUGCAGGAGUGUAUGUGUUAAGCUUCAGGCUGAUGUAUUGGUUGAGAUCGAGGAGAGAGUGAGCCGUUGCAGAGGAGAGGGGAUACGAGGGUGGGCGGAGGUCAGGCAUUGCUAACAGAUUUGAGGCGGAGUGGGAAAGGUGAAGGUGAUGCCGGCCGGCUGGCGCCUCACCACUGGCUCCUGUUUUGCAGCGGCAAAGAGAACGGUGCUGAGGAUGUGUUGCUCUAUGCACGCCUGUCAGAAGUACAUCCUUGCUAUGAUGUAUUUUUCUGUGGCUUUCUCCAUUAGAAUAUUUCUCCUCAACGACCAUAUCAACCUGUCUGGUGUUUGCACAUGUCAUUUUGGUUGAGGUGUGUGCAAGAUCAUCCCUCUCUAAACUAUAAAUUUGUCUGUAUGUUUUGGUAGAUUUGAUUUAUGGGCGGCGAAGGCAGGCUGGCUGUACUACAAGGCGGGGUGCCAUUGUUAUUUUGGUUUUGGCUCAUGAACUUCAAAUCAGUUCUCCUAUGAAAGAAAAUCAAUCUGUGUAUGCAUGAUACUUGUUAAUACUUUAACUGCAGUUUAGGAUACAAAUGUGAUUACAUUAAUCAUUUGUUAAACAGGUUACCGCCAUUCCACCUCUUCCUCGUGAUGGUAUAGGAGUACAUACUAAUUCGAUAAACAAGAGGCAAAGUUGCCAACGCCUGAGAUAGUGGUUCCUACCUCUGGCCUUCGCACCUUUAGUUCCACAAGUAGUUAAGCAACUCAAAUGGUAAGAACUUCAGGGUUCUUUUUUCUCUUUCUUUCUUUCUUUCUUUAUUUCUUUCUUUUCUCUUGGGACUGUUUAUUCUCUGUUUGUAUAUAUUUCCUUUGAUUGAAAUAAAGGAUUGUGUGGCCUUUGCUCCACAUAAGGUAGUCAAAAGAAAGUACUUCCUCUAAUCCAUAUUAGUUGUCGCUGAUUUAGUAGUGUACUAAAUCAAUGACAAUUAAUAUGGAUCAGAGGAGGUAACAUGUAUUUUGUUAAAACUGCUUUAAGUAACUAGGGCCAAGUAACAUACUAUGUGAUUGUUGUGUGUGGUCGUGGCAUGUGAAUCUGAUUAGACCAUCAUAGUUGGAUAAUAGCAGUCUUGGGGAGGAAUACGAUGUGUGUUUCAGAUAUUUAAGAGCGGUUUGAUUAUGUUUCAAUUUCGAAGACAUGGUUUCGUGUUAUGCCUUAUAAGGUUGAGGCAUGUGCUAUAGAGGCAAGGAAGAUUACUUUGAUUUUGUUGAUUAUUAGGGUUUUUGAUAAUGCAACUUCUUUUGGAAUCUGUUAUUAGUGUUUUAUAUAUUGUUCCCCCAAACGUCCUUUUUUGUUUAGUUAUGUAUUGGCAACCGUUUCCUUCUAACAUUGUAGUAAGUAGAAGUUAUAUAUUUUCCUGUCCAUGCCCUUCUUUUCCUAGGCCAGCAAUUUGCUUUCUCCUUGGUUUACAGUGGCUGCAGCCUCCUAUUUGUGACGUUGUAGCCCCAAAGGUAUCCUUCUCUCUAUACUGAAUCUGAUUCUUUGCAUUUUGGGUUUGGAUAUGUUUGCUAUUGCCAGCUCUAUUUGCACUUAAUCAAUAUAUGUGCGUGCACUUGUAGAAGUGAAAGAGAAAUUUGGAGGGCGAUAAAGGAAUAUACAUAAGGUCCUGAGGAAAAUGAUACUUGUAAAUGGUUUGGAUUACUCGUGUUUUUUUAUUUUGACUGCAAAUAACUUCUCUUUUCAACACACUUAGUACGUGAUCUAGCAAUCACAUUAUAAUAGAGUAAGUGAGAAAAAGCUCUUUAUUUGAAUGACCAAGAAUCCGUGGUGUUCUCCUGAACUGCAAGGAACACUCCACUACGAAACUCACUUAAGCAGGCUGAUAGAUGAUGUCUUGUCUUGAGCCUAUUUUCUCAAAAUAAUGAGAGGCUGAAUGAUUCAGACACAGGCUGAACCAUCUUUCUCACUUCAUCAUUUUGUUACAUUUGAUUACUGAUUCGUCAAGGAGUUGUUGUUCUGCGUUCACUUAUUUCCCCAAACUAUAUGUACGCAUCGCUCGCAAAAGAAAUCGAUUUAAAUCCUCUCCGAAAAAAUUUGGACUGUUGUAAGUUGAAAAAAAUGCAUGUGUUGUUCUGUAAGCACUUGAAUUGAAGGACAAAAUGAAAAGCAACUCAGCAGUGGAUAAUCUUACCUCAUUAGCCUAGACAAUACUACAGUUGGUAUGCUGUUGCUGGCCCAUAUAUCCCAAGACAGGGUAUACAGAUAGCUUUUGACCUUGCCAGAGCGUAAGUAGUUCAUUUGGUUAAUCUGUUUUGCGUUUUGACAUGCAUCAUUUGUUGCAGACUGCUAGAUCGAUGCUACUUCCAUUAUUAUUAUUUUUUAUUGCCUAAGCACCGAACAAGCACUCUUGCAUUGGAGGUGCCCUGAAUGGCUUCUACAGAUUUGUCCCAAUGCAAUUAGCAGGCUAGCAUAUUUGAAAAAUGAAAUUUUGAAUGACAUAUAGCAGGAUAUGCAUCUAUUCCUACUCCUAUCUUAUAUGGACAAAUAGAUCUAACAGCUGGCUUGCUUGCUUGCAGUGGUACAGGUGUGAUCUUCAUGGAGCUAGCCAUCAUUGGAUUUGGUAAUACAUAAUCACUUAUUCAGAGAGCCCAAGGUGAGAAGGGAUGAGCAUCUAGAACACCACCACCUACUAAUCAGUGAGCUACUAUCUGUAUUUCAAUGAGUUACUUAACAAGAGAAGGCAGGUAGCAAUAGAACACGUGCAAUUUCAAUGUUUACUAAUUAUCUAUUUCUGAAUUUAUUCGUUCCCAGCUGCUCUGAAUCUGGGUGUUUUGCUUGCUGCUUUGUAGGAGUUUCCUACCUUUCUUCUGCAAAUAUGGAAUGCCUUUAUGGCAUGAUCAUGUGAAAAAAGUACCUUGAUGCAGUAAUGGAUUUGAUUAUCACUGGUUACUCUGUUUUCACGAAUUACUAUCCAACUGUAAGUCUGUUCUAUACCCUAAGGCCCAUGUAAAUCUAAUAGAAGAUUAAGCUAUUUAAUUUUAACUAAAAAGGAUAAUAUUCUUUCAGUCGGUUGAAUCUGUCCAGACCUGAAAAAUACUUAUACUUUGAAAGCUUAAUAUAUGAGUAUGUAAUUUUACAGGUAUGUAGAUAGCCGACAAUGUUAUUGUUCAAAUGUAAGUCUGUUCUAUACCCUAAGGCCCAUGUAAAUCUAAUAGAAGAUUAAGCUAUUUAAUUUUAACUAAAAGGAUAAUAUUCUUUCAGUCGGUUGAAUCUGUCCAGACCUGAAAAAUACUUAUACUUUGAAAGCUUAAUAUAUGAGUAUGUAAUUUUACAGGUAUGUAGAUAGCCGACAAUGUUAUUGUUCAAAUGUACUCGAGCCAGGUUUUCGGUGUUUCAUUGCAACCAAAAGAAUUGGUAAUAUUGUUUUGAUGAAAACAUGGUCGCACUUGUCGGUGUUGUAGUGGCAUAGGAAUUUUCCCCCUAAGAUCCACUAUGAAGUUGAUUAAAAAGUCCAUUUUCCCUAAGAUCCACUAUGACAAUGAAAAAGAUUUCUGAAAACUGUGUCACCAUAAAUGUUCCAUCAUUGUCCAUAGUAGUCCCAUGCCAUAUUAAUUUCAGAAGAAUAAUUUCUUAUUCAGAUGUUCAUUGUGUUUUUAUGUACUGCUAUAUCUAAAAAAGCAAGUUUCAGCUAAAACCAGAGCCGUGGUUAAGAUACUCUUCGCACCUAGGAUAUGUGUAUAUGUUCAGAUUGCUAACUUUAAACUAUAGUUUUAGAAAAUGUGGUGCCCUCGCUUAUUUUUCUAAUGCAUGAACUGGGUAUGUUUUAUGUGUAAUGCGUGCUUGAUUUCUUUUUGGUUCUGGUGGAUUUUGAUUUUGUCCACCAUGCUUCUCUCCAAAGAGAUGAGUCUGUUUUCGCAGCAGCGGGUGAUGCAUGUGCUUAUUGUUGGCUGUUGCUAUGUGGUAUGCAUUUUCUCAUUGUUGGCUGUUUGUUGUUUGCUAUGAUUAAUAUACAUUGGCAUGUACAUUUUAUAUCAGUUUUGUUUUCAACACCACCUAUCACUGUAUAAUUUGUCGUUAAUAGAGUAAUUUCUCCUUUAUUGCAUUGCAUAAUGCUAGCAAGCUACAUUGCACCAUAAACAAAAAUAAUCCUCUUCCAAGGUUAAACCUGUUUUUUCCUUCUAGCAAAGAUCUCUGGAAAAGAUCAAUUCCGUUAGCCUAUAAUAUUGCAGUUCUUUUGUAUCCUUCAAAGAUUUUUAAAUAUUUUCUGUUUCCACUCCAUUCGUUCUCAUGGAUUCUGAAAAAAUAUUUUUGUUUUUUGUUGAUUAAUAAUAUUGCUCUCCCUUCCAGUUUUGAGGUGGUCGAUGCAUGUAGAAUAUACAGACUUUCCUAGAAUGGCGCCUUUUAGUUUUUCUGCUUGAUGUUAGUUCAUUGAUGAGAACACCUAUGUACAUGAUUGCUGCAUGCAUGAUAUCCUAGUAUAUACUGAGAAAUAUUUUUGUUUUCCGGACAUUGUUUUCUAAAUCCUAUCAACAUAUUACCUGAUAUGGUCUUUGAAGUUUCUAUUUUAUAGCGACUCUCUGCACUGGUCAACUUGAGUAUGGUAUGGUUAUCUUUUCUUUUGUUUACAAGAGAUGUGUGGUAGAAGCUGUACUCACAGGAAGACUAUCAUGCUGUGUAUAAACCACGUUCUACGAUUCACUUCUGUUAUGCAUAUUUACUUUCCAGUUUUAGGACUGGAAUCCAUUCAUUGUAAUGAAUUUGGUUGUAUGGGCAUUACCUAUUUGACUUAGGCUUGCUUCAUCACAUAUAGACUGCUUUUUCUUUUCCCCAUUGCUUGUAUGACCUAAAACUAUCAUGUAUAUGAGGCAAGUUAUUAGCAAUGUUUCACAUUUUCUUACUUGCAAUACUGUGCUUGCCUAUUCAGGUGUUCCAAGACCCAAAUCAUCAGAAAAACAACACAUACAACACUUUUUUCUUUUGAACUUUGGUUACCCUUAUACAAGCCCCUGUUCAUUUUGUUUAUAUAGUGGUUAGAAUAGUAACCAUAUGUGCUUGCUCAAUACUGAUAGAUGGAAUAUUUUCAAAGCAUGUAUGGUGUGGGUCUGCAAUUUGGCGCAAUGGGAGAUUACUGAAAAAUACACAUUUUUUCAACAUGACAUGGUCUUGAAAUGGGAGUCUACUAUCAAAUUAAAAUGUAUGGAUUCAGUGGGUCUCUACGCCAUUUUGUUACCCAACUGACGAACUGAGAAAGAAAGGAAGGGGAUAGACAGUCUUCGCUGGCUCUGCCCCCUGCCGCUUCAUAUUCAGCUCCUCACGGGCCACAGGCAUCACUCUACGUGGGUUGGGCUAAAUAACAUAUGGGCUAUCAUAAUACCUCCUGAUCAUUAUAUCUCCGAAUAUGCACAACAAAGACAUGUUUUUUUCUUAGGUUUCUUAUCUUUUCCCUUUUUUUUGCAGGAAAAAUAUGCAUGGCCAGGUUUCUCAUCAUGAUAACCAUGUUUCCAAACUUGCUAAAAAAAUACAACCAUGCCAACUUUACUCUCUCAUCAUAGUGCCCAUAUUUUCAAACUGAACAUAUGCAUAUUAUGCAAAGUUUCCCUUUUCCCAGACUAUUAUCUAACAAUGUAAUAAACAUGUUUAAAAAAUAGCAUAAUUUAGCUGAAGGUUCUUCCAGCAUGAAACUAUUUUCAACGACAACAUGUCUUCAGCAGGUCUGUGCGUCAUUUGGCGCAACGGGUCAACUAGUAUAAAUUAAAAAAUAAAGGACGAGGAUCGAACAUGCGACCAGGGCCUUCAAGCCGCACGUCAAUAGGCAACAUACGUAGAAGAGCAAUGUUUGUUGUACCCCCCUUUGUUCACAUAAUGUUUUUAUAU